UGGACGUUGUAUUACAAAAUUGGAAAACAUGGGGUUUAGAGUAGGACAAGGAUUAAUAGAAAGGUUCACAAAAGAUACUGCCCGAUUCAAAGAUGAAUUAGAUAUAAUGAAGUUUAUCUGCAAAGAUUUUUGGACUACUGUAUUUA